AAGCACAUCUUUAUUUUGCAAUUGAACAGUUAAAGUCACAGCUAGAGUUUUUUCACGUUUGUACCUGAACAACUAUUUCUCAAUUAAAAAAAUGAAAUAUGGUCAACAAAUAUGUGUAAUAGUAUUUCACAUCACAUAAAUCGCUCUUAGGACUAAACAGUUUUAAUGCAAAUCGGCAUUUUUAUCCUCUGUUAGUAUUCAUAGAUUUUUUUUUUACAUGAAUGAACUGCAGGAAUUCUAAUUUUUCACUGAAAUUAAGACAAAUACACAAGGCCUUUCAAGCAUACAGUAAGCUGUAUUGACAGAUGCAGAGUAUGAUUUCAAAUUAUCCAGUAUUGACCAAAUUCAAGCUUACACAUUUUAAAUAAACCCUAAGUUUCUUUACCUCUUAUUUAUGGAAACAAAGGAUAUGGAAAGAGCUAUUUUUGAGAAAUGGGGGGAGAGCUACUAGUUCAGUAUUAUCAAACGUGAAAUGACAGCAGAAAUGCAAAACUAUAUUUUAAUUACGAAAUAAACUAGACUUUUAACUAAGUGACUUUCGCCCUUCAUAUUUACAUAUAGCACCUGUUACAAGAAAAAAAAAUCCCAUACACCCUCUACAUAGAAAUAUUUGUAAAACUACUACUUAAAAAUACCACUAAUGAGUAUAUAGCAAAUUAUCUGUCCUAAAAUUAAGCCUACACUGUAGAAAAUAAAGACUAGCUUUUCUCAUUUGAAAAGAUUACAAUAUGGAUUGUAAUUGCAAUGUCCUGAUGCUCUAAGAACACUGGGUUGGACAGUUUUUAUUUUUUUAAGCACAUAUAUUCUAAUGAUAGAAAACAAAAACAGCUUAAUGUAAACUGUUUUUAGUGUCUUAAAUCCUGACCCUUGACAAGUAGAUUGUGUCAGGACUUUGCCCUCUUCAACUUACUUGUGGUGCAGUAUUAACUUAACCCCUACCUAUGACUUAAAAUCACAUAAAUGGAUUUCCAAAUAUUCAUGUAAUGUACAAAAAAUGCAAAGCAGAAAUGAUUACUGUAAACCAAACCUGGUUGAAGCUAGCUGAGCGAACUCAGAGUACAAAACAGUCAACUGGGUAGUCUUUACUAAAUAAAUUACAGAAAAGUGGCAAAGCUAAAAUCAUACAAGUUGCCUUUUAAAUAUCAAAAGAUCAAGAGAUCAUUGUAAAGCAUUUUACUUGGGUCCAAUCCAAUGAGCUCUACAUACUAAUUCAUUAGUUUUUCCAUAUUUACAAAACUCCUAGAUUUUAUUUUUAAAUGUAUAAAUUAAGUCAGUAGUAAGCAUGAAAUAAAGUGCUACUAUUUAAAAUUCAAGAAAUCCAUUUCAGCAUUGAAAUUUGACCUACUCUACAGGAUACAAGACUGGAUAAUCUUGUGAAUUCACCAAAGGAUUGGAAAAGAUGGGUGCCAGAUAAUCCCAGAACUGGACUGAAAUUUUCUUGCCAGGAAAGGUAAAAAAACUGUUAACAUAACUCAGGAAUAAAAAUCAAAAAGGUUUUAAAUAAAAGGUAAAAUGGGCUCAGUUGUGACAAAUGGAUUUGGGCAAAACAGAGGUCAGCACCUAUUUGUGUCUAAGAUUGUAAACUGGGCUGAUCCUCCUGGACUUUAUGGUGAUAAUUUCAUUUAGCAAGGUGGCAUUUCAGUUAAAGUUAUCAUAAUAUUUGCUAAAUUUCGGAAAUUCUCAGGGUUGAUGGAGCCUGAUAUUAAUCUCUUAACUAUAGUUAAACAGUUGUUCAGGGUAUUUACUUCACAAAGACUACUAUGAAAUGAAAUCAAUGAUUUAUAAAAGUUGGAGGAAUGGGAGAAGUCAAAAUAAUGAAGGCCCCAUUACGUCGAGUUUAAGGAGUGGUAAAUAAUAAAUACUACCCUUUAAAGAGACUGUUGAACAAAUUAAAUAUGCCUAAAAGAGGACUAAAAAUGUAGGGUUUUUGUUGUCAUUCAUCGGAAUCAAUGAACUCUUAAGCAUCUAAGACACCACUGUUACAAGUCAGAACUGGACCGAGUGGUCUCAUCUGUCCAAGAUACGGAUAAUAAAAAGGCAAAAUUACUUGUCAGGGGCCUCUGCACAUAUUUACUGUAGUAAAUCAGAGGCACAGAUUUCUGGCUUCACUAAAGUCACACUCACAACGAUGUCCUCAUUUGUGGCUGCCACAGUGACAAUGCCUGAGAACUUUCCUUCAUGGUAAACACAUGCAGCAGAAUGUUUACCCUCACACAAAAACACCCUUCCAUACUCCAGAAGUCUACAAGUAUUUUACACUUAAAAAUAGCACAAAUUUUCUUGAAAUUUUCUGUUCUAGAGCUAAAAUAAAACAAAGUGAAAAAGAAUGUACAUUAUAUUUGAAAUAUGCUUCAGUAACGACUGCUCAUUUAUAAUGAAAAUUACAUUUUUCUUCCAAAGUUGCAUUUUAUAUCAUGAAAUAGAAUACACUUCCUUUCCUUUUUUCCACUCCCUUGCCGAUUUUUUUGACAGAGUAUCCUUAGAAUCAAGUCAUAAUUCUAGUAACAUUUCAAAGAUACAUUCAUUCUUUUACAGCAUGAAAGACAUACAAAUAUCAUUCUUUUUACACAAUGAAGUAAAAGAAGUUACCAGUUUCAAUCUCUUGUCCAUAGAAAAAUAUUUUCUGUAUCAUUUACACAACAGUAAGUAGGAAAAUUCUACAGUGCUUAACUGAAACUUUUAUGAACACAAGGCUUUUAAACAUUUUCAUUCUUUUAUUGGAAAUUUAAAAGGUUUUAGGAAGUUAAACAUUAGGACUUCCAACUAAAAUUGUAGUCUUUAACUUGCAAUAUUGCUAAUACCUCUCACUUUGAAAAUUAAAAAAUAAUAUACGGUUUUCUCCUUUAUGCAUGGAACCACUUCUACUCAAUGUUGAUGGAUUGCACCCCAGUAGAUACCUCUUCUGGCUGCCCAUUUAGCUUGGAUUGCUAAAGUAAAAAUAACAAUUGACUAUAAAAGUUUAGAAAUCAGCAGUAAACUGCAGUAGAAAAAAAAAAAACUGCAGUAGAAAAACAUACAA
rnacentral:lncRNA from 1 species